rnacentral:lncRNA from 1 species
AUAUAAUCCCGGUAGUCAAUUGAAAUCACGAAGGACUUCAAACCAACUCGCAACAAACCAAGAUCGUAAUAGUUCAACAUAAACACAGCGAAUGCUACAUAGUCAUUCAUUGCCGUCGAAGCGGCACCACAUCGGAGUCAUUAAGUUAUUACAAUCCAAGUUCGAAGUAGCGGAAGCAAAAUAGUUACACACACUUGUUCAAAGUUCAGUUCACAAGUUUCUGUUACUGCCAG